AUUGAACGCUGGCGGCAGGCCUAACACAUGCAAGUCGAGCGGAUGAAGGGAGCUUGCUCCUGGAUUCGGCGGCGGACGGGUGAGUAAUGCCUAGGAAUCUGCCUGGUAGUGGGGGAUAACGUCCGGAAACGGGCGCUAAUACCGCAUACGUCCUGAGGGAGAAAGUGGGGGAUCUUCGGACCUCACGCUAUCAGAUGAGCCUAGGUCGGAUUGGCUAGUUGGUGGGGUAAAGGCCUACCAAGGCGACGAUCCGUAACUGGUCUGAGAGGAUGAUCAGUCACACUGGAACUGAGACACGGUCCAGACUCCUACGGGAGGCAGCAGUGGGGAAUAUUGGACAAUGGGCGAAAGCCUGAUCCAGCCAUGCCGCGUGUGUGAAGAAGGUCUUCGGAUUGUAAAGCACUUUAAGUUGGGAGGAAGGGCAGUAAGUUAAUACCUUGCUGUUUUGACGUUACCAACAGAAUAAGCACCGGCUAACUUCGUG
rnacentral:rRNA from 1 species